rnacentral:tRNA from 1 species
GCGCCCGUAGCUCAGAUGGAUAGAGUGUUGGUUUCCGAAGCCAAAGGUCACAGGUUCGACUCCUGUCGGGCGCGCCA